AUUGAACGCUGGCGGCAUGCUUUACACAUGCAAGUCGAACGGUAACAGCACUUCGGUGGCUGACGAGUGGCGAACGGGUGAGUAAUACAUCGGAACGUGCCUAGUAGUGGGGGAUAACUACUCGAAAGAGUAGCUAAUACCGCAUGAGAUCUAAGGAUGAAAGCCGGGGACCUUCGGGCCUUGCGCUACUAGAGCGGCUGAUGGCAGAUUAGGUAGUUGGUGGGAUAAAAGCUUACCAAGCCGACGAUCUGUAGCUGGUCUGAGAGGACGACCAGCCACACUGGAACUGAGACACGGCCCAGACUCCUACGGGAGGCAGCAGUGGGGAAUUUUGGACAAUGGGCGCAAGCCUGAUCCAGCAAUGCCGCGUGCAGGAUGAAGGCCUUCGGGUUGUAAACUGCUUUUGUACGGAACGAAAAGCCCUCUCCUAAUACAGGAGGGUCAUGACGGUACCGUAAGAAUAAGCACCGGCUAACUACGUG
rnacentral:rRNA from 1 species